UGGAGAUGCGGCCCUGUUGGAAU
rnacentral:miRNA from 1 species